rnacentral:rRNA from 1 species
GACGAACGCUGGCGGCGUGCUUAACACGUGCAAGUCGAACGGAAAGGCCCUGCUUUUGUGGGGUGCUCGAGUGGCGAACGGGUGAGUAACACGUGAGUAACCUGCCCUUGACUUUGGGAUAACUUCAGGAAACUGGGGCUAAUACCGGAUAGGAGCUCCUGCUGCAUGGUGGGGGUUGGAAAGUUUCGGCGGUUGGGGAUGGACUCGCGGCUUAUCGGCUUGUUGGUGGGGUAGUGGCUUACCAAGGCUUUGACGGGUAGCCGGCCUGAGAGGGUGACCGGCCACAUUGGGACUGAGAUACGGCCCGGACGCCGUGGGGAGGCAGCAGUGAGGAAUAUUGCACAAUGGGCGGAAGCCUGAGGCAGCAACGCCGCGUGCGGGAUGACGGCCUUCUGGUUGUAAACCGCUUUCGCCUGUGACGAAGCGUGAGUGACGGUAAUGGGUAAAGAAGCACCGGCUAACUACGUG